rnacentral:tRNA from 1 species
GUCCGGAUAGUUUACUUAAAACAUCUCUUUUCAACAGAGAAGAAGCGGAGGCUCCGGACA